rnacentral:lncRNA from 1 species
GAUUCAUGCAAGGCCCUCGGGUGAGGGACUGUCGAUCCCGACAGCCAUGCCAGCGCAGGGCCAAGAAAGAAUGUCCUGGAAGGGUGGGGAUGGGUUGGGCUUUCUGAACCCUCCCACCUCAGGAAGGCAAAAGACACAGAUCACAGGCAGCAAGGGGCUGCCAUUUCUGAUGCUUAUACCCUCCACGGUGGCUACAGGAGCCCGCACCAGCAGUGGGAGGAGCAACAUUCCAGAAGCUGCUUCUCUCUGCACCGAUGCAGAAACUGUGCCUGCCAGAUAGUAAUGAUCCAGCCGAGGGCACCAGGCUACAAUUUGCAGAACUGGACUGAAGAAUGGCUGACAUAGCCAGCUGCAGUGGCUCAUGCUUGUAAUCCCAACAGUUUAGGAGGCCAAAGCAGGAGGAUCACUUGAAGUCAUGAGUUCAAGACCAGCCUGAGCAACAUGGCAAGACCCCAUCUCUAUAAAAAAUACAAUAAUUAGCAGGGCAUGGUCGCACAUGUCUGUAGUCCCAGCUGCUUGGUAGGCUGAGGCGGAUGGAUCAUUUCAGCCCAGGAGGCAAGACUGCAGUGAGCCAUGAGUAUGCCACUGCACUCCAGCCUGGGUGACAAAAGAAAAAAAAAAUAGAAUGGAUGAUAUAAACUUUAUUGUUUACUGUGGGGUUGCGGUGGGGGGAGGCGUUAGUUCGUUCUUCUUUCUCUCAAUACCUUUACAAAGUCUCUGUUUCAAAAGAGAGCGCAGAUUAUGCCUGCUACCCCAAGUCCUGAGUCAGAAUUCAAAGGCAAAUAUGGUAGGGUGAUGAGGCAGAAAGGACUUAGGCAGCAGGAGAGCUGUGAUUGGUGGAAGGGGCAGGCAGGAAGAGUUUGGGUUUGGAGACACUGGUUGCUGAGUCAGAACUCCAGCUCUGUCAUUGCCUGUGUGACUUUGGGCAAGUUACAUGUGAUUGUUGGAGCUUCCAUUUCAUUUGCUAAAUAAUUGGGAUCAUAAUACAUACAACGUGGAGUUGUUAGGAUGUCACGAGAGAAUGCACAAGAAGUAAGUACUCCCGAAUUGAGCUAUUAUCUACCUCAAAGGAUUACUGGAGAAAUAGAAAAGGGAUAUAAAGAAACACAGCAAAGAUGCUUCAUAAAAGGGCAAUGAAGAAGGUGGCAGCCAGACUGAAGGGAAGAGGGGCUGCAAGACUUGGAGUUGGUGAUGGCAACCCUGGAGAGGAAAGGAACAUGGCCAAGAGGUUGGGAUUCAUGCUAGAUCAAGAAGGAAGAACCCAGAAGCAGCCCAGAGGCUUCACAGCUACAUAAGAAAAAAAAGGGGGCCAGGCACGAUGCCUCAUGCCUGUAAUCCAGCACUUUGGGAGCCUGAGGCGGGUGGAUCACGAGGUCAGGAGUUCGAGAGCAGCCUGACCAACACAGUGAAACCCUGUCUCCACUGAGAAUACAAAAAUUAGCCAGGCAUGGUGGCACACGCCUGUAAUCCCAGCUACUCAGGAGGCUGAGGCAGGAGAAUCCAGGAGGCGGAACUGCGGUGGGCAGAGAUCACGCCACUGUACUCUAUUCUGGGUGACAGAGUAAGACUCCAUCUCAAAAAAAAAAAAAGGAUGUGACUAUUGCCAAAACCAACUUGUAAAACAUCACCAUGAUAUGUCACCAAGCUACCUACGAGAUGCUGGGCAUACCUUCGGUGGAAGAAAGAAACAGCUAUACAACUUUGGGUUGCUUCAUUUUUCUCUUGCAUUUCUAGUUCAGGUUGGUUUUGGUGUUCUGUUGUUGUUGUUGUUUUGCAUUCCAAAAAAAAUAAAAAAUAA